AGAUUAAGUUAUUAAGGGCGCACGGUGGAUGCCUUGGCACUAGAAGCCGAUGAAGGACGUUACUAACGACGAUAUGCUUUGGGGAGCUGUAAGUAAGCUUUGAUCCAGAGAUUUCCGAAUGGGGAAACCCAGCAUGAGUUAUGUCAUGUUAUCGAUAUGUGAAUACAUAGCAUAUCAGAAGGCACACCCGGAGAACUGAAACAUCUUAGUACCCGGAGGAAGAGA
rnacentral:rRNA from 1 species